rnacentral:miRNA from 1 species
CGUUAAACAUUGGCUCAACA